rnacentral:tRNA from 2 species
GGACAGAUGGCCGAGUGGUUAAGGCGCCAGCUUUAGGUUUAGACUUAUACGCUGGUACGAAAGUGCGUGGGUUCGAACCCCACUCUGUUCA